rnacentral:rRNA from 1 species
AUUGAACGCUGGCGGAAUGCUUUACACAUGCAAGUCGAGCGGCAGCGCGGGGCAACCUGGCGGCGAGCGGCGAACGGGUGAGUAAUACAUCGGAACGUACCCAGCUGUGGGGGAUAGCCCGGCGAAAGCCGGAUUAAUACCGCAUACGACCUGAGGGUGAAAGGGGGGGAUCGCAAGACCUCUCGCAGUUGGAGCGGCCGAUGGCGGAUUAGCUAGUUGGUAGGGUAAAGGCCUACCAAGGCGACGAUCCGUAGCUGGUCUGAGAGGACGACCAGCCACACUGGAACUGAGACACGGUCCAGACUCCUACGGGAGGCAGCAGUGGGGAAUUUUGGACAAUGGGGGCAACCCUGAUCCAGCCAUUCCGCGUGAGUGAAGAAGGCC